GACGGAAGGUGCAAGCGUUGCUCGGAAUCACUGGGCGUAAAGGGCGCGUAGGCGGCCGUGCAAGUCUGGCGUGAAAGCCCCGGGCUCAGCCCGGGAAGUGCGCUCGAAACUGCGCGGCUCGAGUGCCGGAGGGGAGAGUGGAAUUCCUGGUGUAGCGGUGAAAUGCGUAGAUAUCUGGAGGAACACCAAUGGCGAAGGCAGCUCGCUGGGACGUGACUGACGCUGAGACGCGAAAGCGUGGGGAGCAAACAGG
rnacentral:rRNA from 1 species